UGUCUACAUCAAGAAUUUGUGAAAGGGAGUAAAAGUUGGGAGUAAGAAAUGAGAGUGCAUGUAGUAUUUUCCAAAUUUUUAUGGCUCUUCGAAC